rnacentral:misc_RNA from 1 species
UACCUGAUUUGAGGUCAACUUUAAGAACAUUGUUCGCCUAGACGCUCUCUUCUUAUCGAUAACGUUCCAAUACGCUCAGUAUAAAAAAGAUUAGCCGCAGUUGGUAAAACCUAAAACGACCGUACUUGCAUUAUACCUCAAGCACGCAGAGAAACCUCUCUUUGGGAAAAAAAAAACAUCCAAUGAAAAGGC